rnacentral:rRNA from 1 species
AGUGAACGCUGGCGGUAUGCCUAACACAUGCAAGUCGAACGGCAGCACAGUAAGAGCUUGCUCUUACGGGUGGCGAGUGGCGGACGGGUGAGGAAUACAUCGGAAUCUACUUUUUCGUGGGGGAUAACGUAGGGAAACUUACGCUAAUACCGCAUACGACCUACGGGUGAAAGCAGGGGAUCUUCGGACCUUGCGCGAUUGAAUGAGCCGAUGUCGGAUUAGCUAGUUGGCGGGGUAAAGGCCCACCAAGGCGACGAUCCGUAGCUGGUCUGAGAGGAUGAGCAGCCACAAUGGAACGGAGACACGGUCCAGACUCCUACGGGAGGCAGCAGUGGGGAAUAUUGGACAAUGGGCGCAAGCCUGAUCCAGCCAUACCGCGUGGGUGAAGAAGGCCUUCGGGUUGUAAAGCCCUUUUGUUGGGAAAGAAAAGCAGCAGGUUAAUAACCCGCUGUUCUGACGGUACCCAAAGAAUAAGCACCGGCUAACUUCGUG